UACAGAGGGUGCGAGCGUUAAUCGGAAUUACUGGGCGUAAAGCGUGCGUAGACGGUUACGUAAGUCGGAUGUGAAAGCCCCGGGCUCAACCUGGGAAUUGCAUUCGAGACUGCGUAGCUAGGAUGCGGAAGAGGGAAGCGGAAUUUCCGGUGUAGCGGUGAAAUGCGUAGAUAUCGGAAGGAACACCAGUGGCGAAAGCGGCUUCCUGGUCCAGCAUCGACGUUCGGGCACGAAAGCGUGGGGAGCAAACAGG
rnacentral:rRNA from 1 species